rnacentral:tRNA from 1 species
GCCUUCGUGGUGUAGUGGUCAGUACGCUCGACGUGUAUUCGAAAAGCUCCGUGGUUCAAAUCCUGGCGAGGGCG